AAACGGAUGUACAGCCGGGUUUUUUUUUCGAUGCAGAAAAAGGAACCGUUUUGCUUUUCAAGUUCUCGGUCCCGGGACACACGAUCUUUUCCUUUCACGUAGAAUAUGAAGCACUCUGAGUCAGGCCUAGGUCAAAAGGUCAACAACGUAAAACCCAGUUCCGAUGCAUUCCCGAGCACAAACACACCCCACACACACACUAGCAUGCAUACGAACCUGUUCAUAAAGUCGAGCACUUCGAAAGUUUUAACAUCGGAAAAGGUUCGACCGAAUUUCCAGAGUCUAUUCUUCACUACUUCCAGAAUCAAACACUUCGAAAGUUUGAACAUCGGCAAAGUUCAACAGAAUUUCCAGAGUCUAUCCUUCACUACUUCCAGACACCAUGGAUUUCUCGGCAGUGCAAGACCGAGUUAAGCUCAUCUGAUUCUAGUGUAUAGACAGCUUGGUGAUUAUUUCUGAUGAUGAGAUUCCCGAAACAACCACUCAUGACCUUUUGAAUCUGAGCUCCACACAAUUUGAGGGAAACGUGACUAACAGUGAUUACGACGGAGAUAUUUCAGAUACGAGUGAUGCAAUAGAAGACCAAGAGGAGAUCAUCUCGGAAACCGACAUUCAACAAGACAUCGAACUACAACGGAUCUGCGCAGUGUGGCGUGAAUUCUUCGAAGCAAAGACUGAUUUAUUGGAAAACUUUGGACAGAUUGAUUAUACACUUGAAUCUGGUCGAGGUACAGAUUUUAUCCCUUUACUGUAUAGCACGCUUGAAAAUGUGAAUAGAACCAGAUUUCGCUGCACUGUGUUUCGGUAUCAACCGGUGACGACACACCCGAUCACAAAGAGAUCAUAAUUAUUGUUGCAUGUUCUUUACCAUAUAGCUUUCCCAUGAAUACCAACUCAACCCACUAUCCCCCCCAUCAGGUUGUUGGUUGUUUUCCCUGAGUCAGGCCUUGGUCAAAAAGGUCUAUGAUAAUUAUUGACACACACACACACACACACAUAUACGAACCUGUCUAUAAAAGCGAACACUUCGUUAGUUGGAAAAAUCAGCAAAGAGUCGAAUAGUUCGAAGGGAUCGACAGAAUUUCCAGACUCUAUCCUUCAAAACUUCCAGACACCAUGGAUUUCUCAGCAGAGCAAGACCGAACUAAGCUCGUCUGAUUCUAGUGUAUAGGAUAACGUAUCAAACGAAUGCGAGUCUACAAGAUAACAGUGCCGUCAUAAUUUCUGACGAUGAAAUUUCCGAGACAUCUGAACGAAGCCUUUUGAAUCUGAGCUCUACACGUAAGUCAUAACAUAAAAUUUUACAUGGUUUACAUGAAUAAGCAGAAAUGUAAUCAUGCUUUUCUUUCCUAUAGCACAAAUGAAAAUCCCUCUCUAGACGAGCAGAUUUGUCAGAUGAAACCUUUUCCUUCUUAUCCACUGCUACGGUAAACUAAAGAGUAGAUUUUCAAAUUACACUGCUAAAUAUGACUAGCAUUAGCUACGUGUAGUAGUGCAAAAUAAUCCAUCAACUGUAUUAGCAGGUGUAGCCUAUACACGAGUCCACUGCUGGUCAUAUCACUAUUGAGAACAUGCCCCAAAUUCACUGCUUUAGUAGAAUUUAAUUGUAAGUGAAAUGAUGCUCACACUGUAAUGUCCUUUGUAUUUGUUCAGUCUACAGGUCCUCUAACACUCUGUUAAAUGAAUAAAUGUAAAUGUACUACAACGUAGAUUUUGUUUUAAAUCAAUUAAUGCAGAAAUUACACACAAUAUUAUCAACAUUAUUAUGUCAACACAACUCAUCAAAAUAAUGUGUACAACUUUAAAUAUUUAAUGAAUUCAAUAAAUUAGAAUUUUUAUCUUGCAACCACACAUUAAAUUUAGAUUGUGGGGGUUUGCUUUGUAUAGCGCCGCUGUUAGAAAAUACAUGAUGGUUGAACGUGAACAUAAAUGAGCAGAAUGUAAGCUUGUGAAAUAAAUGAAACUUUAUUGAUUGCAGUUUUGAGAAAAUGGCAUGACUUUGAAUAAAAAUUUACUGAAAUAAAUACUCUAAAACAUUGAUAUACCCGAAGAAAUGUAAAAAAGAAAAAAAAAAAAAAGAAAAGUUUUUACAUACCUUCUAAA
ensembl:lncRNA